CGCUGAGUUUGAUCCUGGCUCAGGACGAACGCUUGCGGCGUGCCUAAGAAAUGCAAGUCGAACGGGGACUUCGGUCCUAGUGGCGAACGGUCGCGUAACACGUAAGCAACCUGCCCUGAAGUGGGGGACAACAUCCCGAAAGGGGUGCUAAUACCGCAUGUGGUCACGAGUCGGCAUCGGCUUGUGUCUAAAGAUUUAUCGCUUCAGGAUGGGCUUGCGGCCUAUCAGGUAGUUGGUGGGGUAAUGGCCUACCAAGCCGACGACGGGUAGCUGGUCUGAGAGGACGAUCAGCCGGAUUGGGACUGAGACUACGGCCCAGACGUCCGUACGGGGGGCAGCAAUUAGGAAUCUUGCGCAAUGGGGGUAAACCCUGACGCAGCGACGUCGCGUGAAC
rnacentral:rRNA from 1 species